rnacentral:lncRNA from 1 species
UAGCUAUUCUAAAUGAUAUAGUUAAUUUUUUAGUCAAAAUAAAAAGGUGUAGAACGUUAACUAACUCUAUAAUUUAAGAUAGAGUAAAUAAGCACUUAUACAUACCAAUACCAAAAGAGGAGAAGAAGAAAAAAAGCAGUGUAAUUAGAAAAAAUAAACAUUUCAAAUAAAACCCUAGCAAACAAAAACAAGACGAGUGAUUCCAGAGAAGGCCAAUAGGGGAAAGGAAAACACCUAAGAUAAUAAAAAAAAGAUAUAAAUUUGCUUCUCAU